rnacentral:lncRNA from 1 species
GGGGUGCUAAGAGACAAAUGAGACGAUGUUUUGUUAUUAGUCAAGUAAGGGAAGUUAUUUAUUUAAAAUUGAUUAUCUUUUGGUAGAAUUGUGGUUUAACUUUGAAUUGGACUAGGUGAAAUUGAUGUAUGAUAUGAAUUGGUUGGUUUGAGAAUGUGACUGGGUGUUUGGAUUCAAUUGAUGGUUGUGCUAAACUUUGAUAUGUGUAAUUUUAGUUGAUGAUGUGUUUGUUUCAAAGAUUGAUAAGUAUGGUUCAAUUGGUUUUAGAGGAUACAUUUAUUUAGUAAUAUUGGUUUUGACUUAUGAGAAGAAAGAAAAAA